GACGAACGCUGGCGGCGUGCUUAACACAUGCAAGUCGAACGGAAAGGCCCUGCUUUUGUGGGGUGCUCGAGUGGCGAACGGGUGAGUAACACGUGAGUAACCUGCCCUUGACUUUGGGAUAACUUCAGGAAACUGGGGCUAAUACCGGAUAGGAGCUCCUGCUGCAUGGUGGGGGUUGGAAAGUUUCGGCGGUUGGGGAUGGACUCGCGGCUUAUCAGCUUGUUGGUGGGGUAGUGGCUUACCAAGGCUUUGACGGGUAGCCGGCCUGAGAGGGUGACCGGCCACAUGGGGACUGAGAUACGGCCCAGACUCCUACGGGAGGCAGAAGUGGGGAAUAUUGCACAAUGGGCGGAAGCCUGAUGCAGCAACGCCGCGUGCGGGAUGACGGCCUUCGGGUGGUAAACCGCUUUCGCCUGUGACGAAGCGUGAGUGACGGUAAUGGGAAAAGAAGCACCGGCUAACUACGU
rnacentral:rRNA from 1 species